CAGCCGCCACGGUAAUACGUAGGUGGCGAGCGUUGUCCGGAAUCAUUGGGCGUAAAGGGAGCGCAGGCGGGCAUGUAAGUCUUUCUUAAAAGUGCGGGGCUCAGCCCCGUGAUGGGAAAGAAACUACAUGUCUUGAGUACAGGAGAGGAAAGCGGAAUUCCCAGUGUAGCGGUGAAAUGCGUAGAUAUUGGGAGGAACACCAGUGGCGAAGGCGGCUUUCUGGACUGUAACUGACGCUGAGGCUCGAAAGCCAGGGGAGCGAACGGGAUUAGAUACCCCAGUAGUCCCUGUCUCUUAUACA
rnacentral:rRNA from 1 species